rnacentral:lncRNA from 1 species
AUUUUUUAUUUUAUUUUAUUUAGAUUAUUUUAUUCAGAUUAUUAUAUUAAUUAUUCAGAUUAUUAUUAUUAUUCAGAUUCUUGACGUUAAAAGCCCAUAAUUAAGAUAAUUAAAACAAAGACAUUUGCCUUGUAAUCAGCAUAUAUUUCAAUAAGAGGUUUUAAUUUACAGGUGAAAGUUCUGAGCUUCUUAUUUAAUGUUAUCUAUAUUGACAACAUGCUAUAUAGAUCUGAUUGUUUAGGGUGUUUAUGAUACUCCUUUAUUUUUAAAUCCUUUUUCAAUUUGAUGAACACACAUCAAACCUCCAGGACAUGAGAGAGAGUAGCUCCUCAGGGAAGCCAGGCAGACCUGUGUUAGUGGUUGCUGGGAUUGCCAUGGGGAGGCACUAUACAGAGCCACAGCUUGGUCGAGGCACUGCAGUGAUUCUGGAAUCAUGCAGUACAGAACUGGAAGGUAUCCACAAGAAUCACUGAGUUUAACUCCUGGCCCUGCACAGGACAAUUCCCAAAAUCCCACCAUCUGCUUGAGAGCAUUUUCCAAAUGCUUCUUUGACUUCGGGUCGGCGCGGCUCGGGUCGGCGCGGCUCGGGUCGCCUCGGGUAGACAUUCGAGUAGGCCCGGCUCGGGUAGACAUUCGAGUAGGCCCGGCUCGGGUAGACAUCCGAGUAGGCCCGGCUCGGGUAGAGACCCGAGUAGGCACGGCUCGGGUAGAGUCGGGUCGGCUCUGGUCUGCUCGGCCCCGCCCGGCCCCGCACGGGCCCGCGUUCCUGCUCGGCCCCGCCCGGCCCCGCACGGGCCCGCGUUCCCGCUCUGCCCCCGGUACAGUCCCGCACGGCUCGGUACAGCCCAUCACGGUACGGCCCCGCUCGGGGCGGUGCCCGGAGCCGCGCGGCGGGGCCGGGACAGAACUGGAGAAGGGAGCGGGACCGGGCAGAGGCCGAGAGAGGUUAUCAGGAACCUUUAACCAGGGUCACCUUCCGACUUGCUGUUUGCACUGGAGAGGCGCACUGACAUGA